rnacentral:rRNA from 1 species
AUUGAACGCUGGCGGCAGGCCUAACACAUGCAAGUCGAGCGAGUGGCGGACGGGUGAGUAAUGUCUGGGAAAACGCCUGAUGGAGGGGGAUAACUACUGGAAACGGUAGCUAAUAACGCAUACAAUCAGAUGGGCCCAGAUGGGAUUGGCUAGUAGGGGGGGUAACGGCUCACCUAGGCGACGAUCCUUAGCUGGUCUGAGAGGAUUACCAGCCACCCUGGACUUGAGACACUGUCCAGACCCCUACGGGAGGCAGCAGUGGGGAAUAUUGCACAAUGGGCGCAAGCCUGCUGCAGCCAUGCCGCGUGUGUGAAGAAGGCCUUCGGGUUGUAAAGUACUUUCAGCGGGGAGGCGUUACCCGCAGAAGAAGCACCGGCUAACUCCGUGCCAGCAGCCGCGGUAAUUC